rnacentral:rRNA from 1 species
CCUACGGGAGGCAGCAGUGGGGAAUCUUGCGCAAUGGGCGAAAGCCUGACGCAGCAACGCCGCGUGCGGGAAGAAGGCUUUCGGGCUGUAAACCGCUUUCAGCAGGAACGAAAAUGACGGUACCUGCAGAAGAAGGAGCGGCCAACUAUGUGCCAGCAGCCGCGGUGAUACAUAGGCUUCAAGCGUUGUCCGGAUUUAUUGGGCGUAAAGAGUUCGUAGGCGGUCGAGUAAGUCGGGUGUGAAAAUUCUGGGCUCAACCCAGAGACGCCACCCCGAUACUGCUUGACUUGAGUUCGAUAGGGGAGUGGGGAAUUCCUAGUGUAGCGGUGAAAUGCGCAGAUAUUAGGAGGAACACCGGUGGCGAAGGCGCCACUCUGGAUCGAUACUGACGCUGAGGAACGAAAGCAUGGGUAGCAAACAGGAUUAGAUACCCUGGUAGUCCAUGCCGUAAACGGUGGGCACUAGGUGUGGGUUUCUAUUAACGAAAUCCGCGCCGUCGCUAACGCAUUAAGUGCCCCGCCUGGGGAGUACGGUCGCAAGACUAAAACUCAAAUGAAUUGACGG